rnacentral:lncRNA from 1 species
UCAGACAGAUGAAAUAACACACACAAAGAGUUCACUGAAUAAUUAAAUCAUUAAAUGAGGUAAGGAUCAAAUAAAAUAAUUAAAAUCUAAACAGAGAAUAAAUGGAAAUUAAAAUAAAAAAAAUAAAAGAGGGGUGCAUCAGCAUUUUAAAAUGGACUGGAAAACAUGAAGAGGCGCUCAUGGGCCUUGCAAAGGGGGGCGCUAAAAGCAGAU